rnacentral:rRNA from 1 species
GGUUGAUCCUGCCAGUAGUCAUAUGCUUGUCUCAAAGAUUAAGCCAUGCAUGUCCAAGUAUAAACAUUAUACCGUGAAACUGCAGAUGGCUCAUUACAUCAGUUAUAAUUCAUUUGAGGAUCAAAUGACUACAUGGAUACCCGUAGUAAUUCUAGAGCUAAUACAUGCGAAAAGUCCCGACUCGUGAGGGAAGGGACGUAUUUAUUAGAUAAAAAACCAACAGCCCUUUAAACGGGGUUAGAUUGGCGAGGAGUCGUAGUAACUGUUCGGAGCGCGUGGCCUUGUGCCGGCG